rnacentral:rRNA from 1 species
GAUGAACGCUGGCGGCGUGCCUAAUACAUGCAAGUCGAGCGAACAGACGAGGAGCUUGCUCCUCUGACGUUAGCGGCGGACGGGUGAGUAACACGUGGAUAACCUACCUAUAAGACUGGGAUAACUUCGGGAAACCGGAGCUAAUACCGGAUAAUAUAUUGAACCGCAUGGUUCAAUAGUGAAAGACGGUUUUGCUGUCACUUAUAGAUGGAUCCGCGCCGCAUUAGCUAGUUGGUAAGGUAACGGCUUACCAAGGCAACGAUGCGUAGCCGACCUGAGAGGGGGACGGCCACAAGUGAAAGUGAGCCCGGCCCCAGCCCCCGAGGGGGGGCAGCAGAGGGGAUCCUCCCGAAAGGGGCAAAGGCCGGAGGGCGCACCGCCGGGGGAGGGAAGAAGUUCUUCGAAUCGAAAAACGUUUUUAUGAGGAAAAAAAAAUUGUGAAAGUACCUAGCCCCGUUUGGGCGGUCCUAAAAAAAAAAGCCACGCCUAACUGCGG